GAACUAAGUUUCAAUCAGUUUAGCAGUAAUCAGCAGCCAAGUAGAGAAAAGAGACUCAAAGAAGUGCCCUCACUGUGCAAAAAGCAGCCAAAUAAAUGCACCAUUAUCUGCUCAGCUCAGCACGCCAGGCAGCUGAUCAGCAGGGCUGAGGUUGCUGGUUGUCUUUGCAUUGCUCAGAGCUGGUCGCAGUACGAGCUGCCAGGUAAUGGCCAGGGGACCAGAGAGGGAGCGGAGGGAACCGGCUACCACAGAGACAGCAAAGGAGGUAUUUUGUGGAUGACGUGCUGGAGAAAUGUGGUUAAAAAUAGAAGCCAUUCAAGCAAAGCUGUGAUAACAGGAAUAACUGGGAUUUUUCUCUAAGGAAAUGAAUACUCCCUUUGCAGGGCAGUAGAAGCCCCAAGCUCACCUUCGGAUUCCAAAUCCAGAAGCAUUCUGCUAAGCAAUGUAAAACAACUUAUUUGUUGCUCAUGGCUCUGUCAGUCGUGUUUGUUUUUGUUUGUUUGCUUUGUUUUUGUUUUGUUUUGUUUUGUUUUUUCCCUCCACGUUUUAAACAUCAGUCUGCAAUCUUCUAUAGUCCCAGUAGAGGGCAAUAUAAUUAAGCCAUUUUUAGAAGGCUUUUCAAGACUGUUGCUGUAACUGGCUCCUACGGCAUGCCUCAGGUUUUGUUGCUGCUCCGGGUUUGAGUUCUAAUGCCAAAUGUAUUAAAAUUAAAUAAAUUAAAUCUGCUUUUGAUCCCAGAAAGGUUCGUACUGCCUUUUCUUUUUUCCUUUUUACUGCACAAAAGACAUGGAUACAUUCUCAAUACCUGAAAUCAUCUCUAUAGAAAAUCAAGAUAUAGCCUUGUUCACUACCAUUUUUCCUUGUCCGCAGCCACUCCCCUGACUGUAGAUGUUGUUAUAGCAUGCCUCAUAUCCAUAACUAAUCUGCACUUGUAUGUAGUUUUAAAAAGAUUAAUAUGUAAUAAUAAAUAAUCAAUGUAAUAUGUAAUAAUAAAUAAUUAAUUAAAAAAUAAUAAAUAUGUAGUUUUAAAAAGAUUAAUUGACAAAUUGGAAGAAAAUCAAUUGAAAGUACAUGAUAAAUGUUAUUUAAUUCAUUAUAUGGCUUUGCUAUUCAUACACGUUUAUCUGUGCUGGUAGACGUUCACAUAAAUAUGAAAUGAAACCUCACUUUCUACGUGUAACUGAAGGGAAACCUGCACUGAGAAUAAUAGGAAAGCAUUAUUUUACAGUAUGUAAGUUUAUGGGCCAUGAGAGAUUAUGCAAUGUUUCUAAAGAUUAUCCCAAUGAUAAGGCUCUGUGGUUUUAUUUACUGAGGUUUAGAUACAUUUAGGCAUUUAAAAGUUCUUAGAAAGAUAACCAAAGCUCUAAGACAAGAACUGAAUAGCCACCUGACAGAUUUCAUAAAAUCUCACAACAGUACAAUGAACUGUAUUAGAGUUUCAUAAGUCAUGAAGGAAAAAUAUUCCCUACUGAGCAGUCAAGAGAACACCAAGAACAGCUGGUAAGUCUGACAGUGUGAUUUCCUUCUCCUCAAGUGUACAGAGACAAAAGUAUGAAACAGCUGGAAAAUAUAUUCAAAGUAUGACUGGCACAGUGUCACAAUAAAAGUGUCAGGUAAGUUCAUUGCAAGCCAGUAGCUUUAUUUAUUUCCUGUCUAAUUUGUAUGUGGAUGGAAAUGGUAAGUAAAGUGGCAAUGCAUUUCUCUGCAUGUUUACAUAGAUUCCAUAAGUGCAAAGAAUGAUCCUGUGCUAAAAGUACUUCACUGCAGUGUGUAAAUUCAAUUCCAUUUGGCAUCUUCAGUUCCCUAUGUAUAAAAUGGCUACAGUAUUUCUUGUAUGACUUGUCUGUGUGACUUGUGCAUCAUGAGUUGUGCAGCAGCAGGAGAUUGCAAUUGCUUCUACAAGCCAAAUAUUCACAAUAAAAAGCCAGUCCUUGGCUGCAGAUCCUUGCAGAGAAAGAAGUAUCUUAUGUUUUACUAAUAUAUACAUAAAUAUAUAUACAAUAUAUGUGUAUAUAUACCGUACCUAAUACAACUCCAAGACCAGCUGAUAGUUUUCAAAUGUAUUGUAAUGUAACUAGAAAAGUAUACAUAUUAAGAAGCCAAAGUUACUAAAAGACAGAUUUAUCUUUGCACAAAACAUUUAUUUAUUUAUUUAUUUAUUUUUCCAGCAGAUCACAAUGAAUGUGUGUGAACAACUUUACUAGUAUGAAACAGGAUAUAUGGUACCAUAAAGGAGACUACAUGCUGGGUCUCCUUGCAUUUCCAUUAAUUUCUUAAUCAGACCAAGAAGAAAGGCUUGUGAAGACAGAACUGAUAUUUCCUUGUUUCUAUUUCACCUUUUCAGAUCACAUGGUCUAGCAGCCAUUUCCAAUUGUUAAAUGGCUUAUUUAUUUUCAUGGAAAUAGCUAUUACAGAAGCAAAAGUUUCUUCUGUACCCCUUUUAUCUAUGGUGUUCUGUAUACACUAAGAAGCCAGACAGGAUGUCUCUGUCUCUCUAAUGUCUCUGUACAUUAGAAGUUUAUAGUGGGGGAAAAAAAAAAAAAAAAAAAGUCUUCUUUGUAUUGAAGAAUGACAGACAGGAAUAUAAAAUUGCCAAAAUGUUUAUCAGAGAACCUCUACAAGCAAUGGAAGUAAAUGUGCCUGACAGUUAAAAAGUUUUUGACAUUCUAACAUUCUAGAAAUAGUGAAGUACUGAGGGAAUAGUGAAGUUUCCAUUCUUGCAGGUCUUGAAGGUGCAGAAGUUUAAAUAAACAUCUGAUAGAAAAAAAAUAAAAAUCAAAAUAAACCUUUGAUCUAAAUUAUCCUGCUUU
ensembl:lncRNA